rfam:Bombyx mori DNA, contig: Bm_scaf21325_contig66535, strain: p50T/Dazao, build 2, whole genome shotgun sequence.
CCAGUCGUAGCCGAUGUUCCACAGCAAGGGGCCCAGGACAGACCCCUGCGGAACACCGCGCUCGACGGG